rnacentral:rRNA from 1 species
AUUGAACGCUGGCGGCAGGCCUAACACAUGCAAGUCGAGCGAGCGGCGGACGGGUGAGUAAGGUAUGGGGAUCUGCGCGAGAGAGGGGGAUAACUACUGGAAACGGUGGCUAAUACCGCCUACUAUCGGAUGAACCGAUAUGGGAUUAGCUAGUAGGUGGGGUAAAGGCUCACCUAGGCGACGAUCCCUAGCUGGUCUGAGAGGAUGAUCAGCCACACUGGGACUGAGACACGGCCCAGACUCCUACGGGAGGCAGCAGUGGGGAAUAUUGCACAAUGGGCGCAAGCCUGAUGCAGCCAUGCCGCGUGUGUGAAGAAGGCCUUCGGGUUGUAAAGUACUUUCAGUCGGGAGGCGUUACCGACAGAAGAAGCACCGGCUAACUCCGUGCCAGCAGCCGCGGUAAUAC